rnacentral:rRNA from 1 species
GACGUAGGGCGCAAGCGUUGUCCGGAUUUAUUGGGCGUAAAGAGCUCGUAGGCGGCCUGUCGCGUCGACCGUGAAAACCCCGCAGCUCAACUGCGGGCUUGCGGUCGAUACGGGCAGGCUGGAGUUCGGUAGGGGAGACUGGAAUUUACGGUGUAGCGGUGAAAUGCGUAGAUAUCGUAAGGAAGACCAGUGGCGAAGGCGGGUCUCUGGACAGUUCCUGACGCUGAGGCACGAAGGUCAGGGGAGCAAACGGGG